AUAAACAAGAGAUAGUAAGAUUGCUCAAGGAAGAUGGUGAAGUUGUUGCAAUGACAGGAGAUGGAGUCAAUGAUGCACCUGCCUUGAAGUUGGCUGAUAUUGGGAUUGCGAUGGGGAUUGCUGGGACAGAGGUUGCAAAGGAAGCCUCCGACAUGGUUCUUGCAGAUGACAAUUUUAGUACCAUAGUCGCAGCUGUUGGUGAAGGCAGAUCGAUUUAUGACAAUAUGAAGGCCUUUAUCAG
rnacentral:misc_RNA from 1 species